UACGUAGGGAGCAAGCGUUGUCCGGAAUCAUUGGGCGUAAAGCGCGCGUAGGUGGCCCCGUAAGUCCGCUGUGAAAGUCAAAGGCUCAACCUCUGAAAGCCGGUGGAUACUGUGGGACUAGAGUACGGAAGAGGCGAGUGGAAUUCCUGGUGUAGCGGUGGAAUGCGCAGAUAUCAGGAGGAACACCAAUAGCGAAGGCAGCUCGCUGGGACGUUACUGACACUGAGGCGCGAAAGCGUGGGGAGCGAACAGG
rnacentral:rRNA from 1 species